GAACCGACUAUGAAGCUUUGUGGCUGGAGGAGGCUCUGUGCACAGAACACAACCCACAAGAGUUCAUACCGAGGUGGGCAGGAACGCAGCAGGGGGUAGCUAUACCAGGUGUGAGCAUCAUACAGCCAAGGACACACCCAUCCCGUGGCCAACCAGGCCUCACAGCUCUACCGACUCCCUGCAGCCCGUUGAAAUUCUGAACCUACCAAUGGAUCAACUCAUCGACUAGGUUGCAGCUACUCAUGGAUCCGUCAAGUGAAGCCCCCAAGACUAGAAGUCAGUAGGGCUGCUGUAGGCCUCGGGAGCACAGGAGUGAGAGGCUGAGAAGACAAGUGAGUUUGUGUGUAGACUAUACUGACAACGAAAUAAUGUCAUACUGAAACAUGCAUUAAAAUCAUGCACUUAGCAGCAGCCUGCCCUGAGGGAAUGUAAACUGUUGUCAGACCUGCACGGCUAAAGCAGCAACCUCUGGAUCUUCGGGAUUUUAUUGCCAUCUGCUGGUCACAUUGAUGUCUGCAGCCAAGACCGGGCCAACUUGGCGGUCCUCCUCUUAGAGGCAGCAAAAGGCAACCGUAAGCCCACCGCUAGAAGGGCGACCUCUAGUGCACAGACCUUGACAUUUUCCCUUUUUAUGGAAUUUGCAAAGGUUCAGGAUGCCAUUCGGGCAAGUUACAGUUAGAGGGUAAAAAUCAAAAGCUCUUAGCUAUGUCCAACUCCUUUUAUUCUAAAAAAAAAUGUCCUGUGUAAUAGAACUAGACUGAUGGUAGCAGCCUACUUUAUAGAUGUAUUAUUUUGAAUUCACGUGUUGUUUUAUAAUAAUUUCUUAUUAAGAACUCUAGACUCAGGGCUGGAGACAUGCUCAGUAGUUAAGAGUGUGUAUUGCUCUUGCAGAGGACCUGAGUUUGGUUACCAGUUCCCACGCUGGUCAGCUUACAAACACCUGAAACUCUAGCUAUAGGGGGUUUCUGACGCCCUCUUCUGGCCUCCACGGGCACUGCACUUGCCAUGAUUGCCAUGAUGGGAGCAUGCACUUUCCCUCUCCCUCUCCCUCUUUCUUCCUCUCCCUCUCCCCCUCCC